AUUGAACGCUGGCGGCAGGCCUAACACAUGCAAGUCGAACGAGGGGCGGACGGGUGAGUAAUGUCUGGGAAACUGCCUGAUGGAGGGGGAUAACUACUGGAAACGGUAGCUAAUACCGCAUACCAUCGGGUGUGCCCCGCAGGGAGUAGCUAGUAGGUGGGGUAAAGGCUCACCUAGGCGACGAUCCCUAGCUGGUCUGAGAGGAUGACCAGCCACACUGGAACUGAGACACGGUCCAGACUCCGACGGGCGGCAGCAGUGGGGAAUAUUGCACACGGGGCGCAAGCCUGAUGCAGCCAUGCCGCGUGUAGGAAGAAGGCCUUCGGGUUGGAAAGUACUUUCAGCGGGGAGGCGUUACCCGCAGAAGAAGCACCGGCUAACUCCGUGCCAGCCGCCGCGGUAAUAC
rnacentral:rRNA from 1 species